GGUUAAGCGACUAAGCGUACACGGUGGAUGCCCUGGCAGUCAGAGGCGAUGAAGGACGUGCUAAUCUGCGAAAAGCGUCGGUAAGGUGAUAUGAACCGUUAUAACCGGCGAUGUCCGAAUGGGGAAACCCAGUGCAAUUCGUUGCACUAUCGUUAACUGAAUACAUAGGUUAACGAGGCGAACCGGGGGAACUGAAACAUCUAAGUACCCCGAGGAAAAGAAAUCAACCGAGAUUCCCCCAGUAGCGGCGAGCGAACGGGGAGCAGCCCAGAGUCUGAAUCAGCUUGUGUGUUAGUGGAACGGUCUGGAAAGUCCGACGGUACAGGGUGAUAGUCCCGUACACCAAAAUGCACAGGCUGUGAACUCGAAGAGUAGGGCGGGACACGUGGUAUCCUGUCUGAAUAUGGGGGGACCAUCCUCCAAGGCUAAAUACUCCUGACUGACCGAUAGUGAACCAGUACCGUGAGGGAAAGGCGAAAAGAACCCCGGCGAGGGGAGUGAAAAAGAACCUGAAACCGUGUACGUACAAGCAGUGGGAGCACCUUCGGGUGUGACUGCGUACCUUUUGUAUAAUGGGUCAGCGACUUAUAUUCUGUAGCAAGGUUAACCGUAUAGGGGAGCCGCAGGGAAACCGAGUCUUAACUGGGCGUUAAGUUGCAGGGUAUAGACCCGAAACCCGGUGAUCUAGCCAUGGGCAGGUUGAAGGUUGGGUAACACUAACUGGAGGACCGAACCGACUAAUGUUGAAAAAUUAGCGGAUGACUUGUGGCUGGGGGUGAAAGGCCAAUCAAACCGGGAGAUAGCUGGUUCUCCCCGAAAGCUAUUUAGGUAGCGCCUCGUGAACUCAUCUUCGGGGGUAGAGCACUGUUUCGGCUAGGGGGUCAUCCCGACUUACCAACCCGAUGCAAACUACGAAUACCGAAGAAUGUUAUCACGGGAGACACACGGCGGGUGCUAACGUCCGUCGUGAAGAGGGAAACAACCCAGACCGCCAGCUAAGGUCCCAAAGUCAUGGUUAAGUGGGAAACGAUGUGGGAAGGCACAGACAGCCAGGAUGUUGGCUUAGAAGCAGCCAUCAUUUAAAGAAAGCGUAAUAGCUCACUGGUCGAGUCGGCCUGCGCGGAAGAUGUAACGGGGCUAAACCAUGCACCGAAGCUGCGGCAGCGACGCUUAUGCGUUGUUGGGUAGGGGAGCGUUCUGUAAGCCUGCGAAGGUGACCUGUGAGGGUUGCUGGAGGUAUCAGAAGUGCGAAUGCUGACAUAAGUAACGAUAAAGCGGGUGAAAAGCCCGCUCGCCGGAAGACCAAGGGUUCCUGUCCAACGUUAAUCGGGGCAGGGUGAGUCGACCCCUAAGGCGAGGCCGAAAGGCGUAGUCGAUGGGAAACAGGUUAAUAUUCCUGUACUUGGUGUUACUGCGAAGGGGGGACGGAGAAGGCUAUGUUAGCCGGGCGACGGUUGUCCCGGUUUAAGCAUGUAGGCUGGUUAUCCAGGCAAAUCCGGAUAAUCAAGGCUGAGGUGUGAUGACGAGGCACUACGGUGCUGAAGUAACAAAUGCCCUGCUUCCAGGAAAAGCCUCUAAGCAUCAGGUAACAUCAAAUCGUACCCCAAACCGACACAGGUGGUCAGGUAGAGAAUACCAAGGCGCUUGAGAGAACUCGGGUGAAGGAACUAGGCAAAAUGGUGCCGUAACUUCGGGAGAAGGCACGCUGGUGUGUAGGUGAAGUCCCUGCGGAUGGAGCUGAGACCAGUCGAAGAUACCAGCUGGCUGCAACUGUUUAUUAAAAACACAGCACUGUGCAAACACGAAAGUGGACGUAUACGGUGUGACGCCUGCCCGGUGCCGGAAGGUUAAUUGAUGGGGUUAUCCGUAAGGAGAAGCUCUUGAUCGAAGCCCCGGUAAACGGCGGCCGUAACUAUAACGGUCCUAAGGUAGCGAAAUUCCUUGUCGGGUAAGUUCCGACCUGCACGAAUGGCGUAAUGAUGGCCAGGCUGUCUCCACCCGAGACUCAGUGAAAUUGAACUCGCUGUGAAGAUGCAGUGUACCCGCGGCAAGACGGAAAGACCCCGUGAACCUUUACUAUAGCUUGACACUGAACAUUGAGCCUUGAUGUGUAGGAUAGGUGGGAGGCUUUGAAGCGUGGACGCCAGUCUGCGUGGAGCCAACCUUGAAAUACCACCCUUUAAUGUUUGAUGUUCUAACGUUGGCCCCUUAUCGGGGUUGCGGACAGUGUCUGGUGGGUAGUUUGACUGGGGCGGUCUCCUCCCAAAGCGUAACGGAGGAGCACGAAGGUUAGCUAAUCCUGGUCGGACAUCAGGAGGUUAGUGCAAUGGCAUAAGCUAGCUUGACUGCGAGCGUGACGGCGCGAGCAGGUGCGAAAGCAGGUCAUAGUGAUCCGGUGGUUCUGAAUGGAAGGGCCAUCGCUCAACGGAUAAAAGGUACUCCGGGGAUAACAGGCUGAUACCGCCCAAGAGUUCAUAUCGACGGCGGUGUUUGGCACCUCGAUGUCGGCUCAUCACAUCCUGGGGCUGAAGUAGGUCCCAAGGGUAUGGCUGUUCGCCAUUUAAAGUGGUACGCGAGCUGGGUUUAGAACGUCGUGAGACAGUUCGGUCCCUAUCUGCCGUGGGCGCUGGAGAAUUGAGGGGGGCUGCUCCUAGUACGAGAGGACCGGAGUGGACGCAUCACUGGUGUUCGGGUUGUCAUGCCAAUGGCACUGCCCGGUAGCUAAAUGCGGAAGAGAUAAGUGCUGAAAGCAUCUAAGCACGAAACUUGCCCCGAGAUGAGUUCUCCCUGAGACUUUAAGUCUCCUGAAGGAACGUUAAAGACGAUGACGUUGAUAGGCCGGGUGUGUAAGCGCAGCGAUGCGUUGAGCUAACCGGUACUAAUGAACCGUGAGGCUUAACCUU
rnacentral:rRNA from 1 species